GCUUGGUUAUAGGUUUUAGGUUCACUAACUUGGGAAAGAUUCAAGACAUAUGAUUUAUGAAGAGAUGAUAAUGCAUCAUAUGAGAGAUAUGAAGAGAUAGGAUAUAAGGUACCUGUGGAUGACUGAGUGGCGGAAGAAGUAGAUAACAUGUUGCAAUGAUAGUCCUGCAAAUAAGAUGGUUUAUGUGUUGGCCUGGUUGAUUUCCUUUGUGGAGUAGCAAUGACAGGU
rnacentral:lncRNA from 1 species